rnacentral:rRNA from 1 species
CUGAGGGAAACUUCAGCUAAUACCGUAUGAGCCCGAGAGGGGGAAAGAUUUAUCGGCCUUGGGAGCGGCCCGCGUCGGAUUAGCUAGUUGUGGGGUAACGGCCUACCAAGGCUUCGAUCCGUAGCUGGUCUGAGAGGACGAUCAGCCACACUGGGACUGAGACACGGCCCAGACUCCUACGGGAGGCAGCAGUGGGGAAUCUUGCGCAAUGGGGCAACCCUGACGCAGCCAUGCCGCGUGGACGAUGAAGGCCUUAGGGUUGUAAAGUUCUUUACCCGUGACGAUGAUGACGGUAACGGGGAAUAAGCUCCGGCUAACUUCGUG